GAGAGAGAGAGAGAGAGAGAGAGAGAGAUCAGCGGGGAAGGAGACUUGUCUGUGCGCGGAGCGGAGAGCAGCGCUGUGCGUCUUUACGCUCACCGGUCCGAGGGACUCUGCUGCGCUUAGAGAAGAGGAAUUUAAGGAAGCGAGUCUGCUCCGCGCAUGUUGGAAGCGGAGAGGAGAGGAGAGGAGGGCUGGAUGCCUGUGGGUUUGCGAAGCCACAAGAAGAGCAAGACGCAGCCAAGGAUUACAUCCAGCCCGGACACCAGCUAAAGGACUAACGGGACGCACGGUGGAGGAGGGAGUACUUUUUUUAAUUAUUAAUAUUAUUAUUGUUUCUUUCGUCUGAGAGGAGAUGGCACAGCGCGCGCCGGAUAGAGGAGAGCCGGAGAGAGGGCGCAGGAGCUGAGUGACAGGAUGCCAGAGACCUGAGCCCCCCUCACUCUCAUCCACACACACUUGUUUUACUUUGACUGAACUGGGAGGAAAGCUAUUAAGC